rnacentral:rRNA from 1 species
UAGGGAAUCUUCGGCAAUGGGGGCGAACCCUCGACCGACGCAACGCCGCGUGAGUGAAGAAGGUUUCGGAUCGUAAACUCUGUUGUUAGAGAAGAACACGAGUGAGAGUAACUGUUCAUUCGAUGACGGUAUCUAACCAGCAAGUCACGGCUAACUACGUGCCAG